rnacentral:rRNA from 1 species
UCUGGUGAUUUGACGCCGUGGUCACACCCGAUCCCAUUCCGAACUCGGCAGUUAAGCGCGGUAGUGGCGAUGAUACUCGAAAGGGGAAAGUAGCCAGUCGCCAGAA